UACGUACUGUGCGAACGUUAUUCGGAAUCACUGGGCUUAAAGGGUGUGUAGGCGGACAUGUAAGUCAGUGGUGAAAUCUCCAGGCUCAACCUGGAAACUGCCGUUGAUACUAUAUGUCUUGAAUAUCGUUGAGGUAGGCGGAAUAUGUCAUGUAGCGGUGAAAUGCUUAGAUAUGACAUAGAACACCGAUUGCGAAGGCAGCUUACUAAACGGUCAUUGACGCUGAGGCACGAAAGCGUGGGGAUCAAACAGU
rnacentral:rRNA from 1 species